rnacentral:rRNA from 1 species
AUGGGCACGCGGGAGUACUACGACUACCGGCGGGCCAUCUACGGCGACAUCACGCACAAGGCCAUCCUCGUCGACGCCGCCGGCACCCUCCUCGCCCCCACCGAGCCCAUGGCCCAGAUAUUUAACUGCAUUAGUGAAUGUUCUGGGUCUGAUACAGCAGCUAAGCUUAGGGAUAAGCUGGUCAAUGCAGGAAAAUCUAAAGAAAGCGACUAA